rnacentral:rRNA from 1 species
CCAAUAGCGUAUAUUAAAGUUGUUGCAGUUAAAAAGCUCGUAGUUGAAUUUCGGGAUCAGUUGGUCGGUCGUGCCUCGGUACGUACUGGUCAAAUUGAUUCCUACCUUCUGACGAACCACGAUGUCAUUAAUUUGGUGUCGUGGGGAAUCAGGACUGUUACUUUGAAAAAAUUAGAGUGUUUAAAGCAGGCUCGCGCUUG